rnacentral:rRNA from 1 species
GACGAACGCUGGCGGCGUGCUUAACACAUGCAAGUCGAACGGUAAGGCCCUCCGGGGCACACGAGUGGCGAACGGGUGAGUAACACGUGGGUGAUCUGCCCUGCACUUCGGGAUAAGCCUGGGAAACUGGGUCUAAUACCGGAUAGGACUCCGGACUGCAUGGUCUGGGGUGGAAAGCUUUUGCGGUGUGGGAUGGGCCCGCGGCCUAUCAGCUUGUUGGUGGGGUGAUGGCCUACCAAGGCGACGACGGGUAGCCGGCCUGAGAGGGUGACCGGCCACACUGGGACUGAGAUACGGCCCAGACUCCUACGGGAGGCAGCAGUGGGGAAUAUUGCACAAUGGGCGCAAGCCUGAUGCAGCGACGCCGCGUGAGGGAUGACGGCCUUCGGGUUGUAAACCUCCUUCAGCAUCGACGAAGCGAAAGUGACGGUAGGUGCAGAAGAAGGACCGGCCAACUACGUGCCAGCCGCCGCCGUAA